rnacentral:lncRNA from 1 species
CAGAGAGACAUCAUCAGAGAGAGGGACAGAAUGAAUGGUUACGGUUGAGUUCCCAGUCAAAAUAAAGCUAGCAGUACACGUGAAAAAAGCUUAGUUUCUGAGAAAAAUUGGGAUGCCUGAAUUUCUUGGGAUUCAGAUGAAGGAUACUUGAGAACCAGCAACUGGCAUCAACAGUGUUAUGCUCCUCUGCGGAGAUGCCAAAACCUGAACACCUCAGUUCCAACAACUUUCACUCAGGAGAGGUUAACAGAGAGAUUGAGAGAAGUUAAACAACAUGUUCAAGAUCACACUGUUGAGGAAAUGAAAAGGGAGAGACUGAAGAUACUGGAGGAAAAAAUAAUGGAGCAGUUUCCGGGAGAAGGAAAGAGGUGAUAUGCCCAAGGACACACAUGGAAGAGAAAGAGA